rnacentral:rRNA from 1 species
UACGUAGAGGGCGAGCGUUGUCCGGAGUUACUGGGCGUAAAGGGCAUGCAGGCGGUCGGACGCGUUUUGUGUGACAGCGGGUGGCUCAACUACGCGAGCAUACGAAAGACGGUUUGACUUGAGGGCUCGAGAGGGACACGGAAUUCCGGGUGGAGUGGUGAAAUGCGUAGAGAUCCGGAGGAACACCGAAGGCGAAGGCAGUGUCCUGGCGAGUGACUGACGCUGAGGUGCGAAAGCCAGGGGAGCGAACGGG